AACAGGAUUAGAUACCCUGGUAGUCCACGCCGUAAACGUUGGGCGCUAGAUGUAGGGACCUUUCCACGGUUUCUGUGUCGUAGCUAACGCAUUAAGCGCCCCGCCUGGGGAGUACGGCCGCAAGGCUAAAACUCAAAGGAAUUGACGGGGGCCCGCACAAGCGGCGGAGCAUGCGGAUUAAUUCGAUGCAACGCGAAGAACCCUACCAAGGCUUGACAUACACCGGAAACGGCCAGAGAUGGUCGCCCCCUUGUGGUCGGUGUACAGGUGGUGCAUGGUUGUCGUCAGCUCGUGUCGUGAGAUGUUGGGUUAAGUCCCGCAACGAGCGCAACCCUCGUUCUAUGUUGCCAGCGCGUUAUGGCGGGGACUCAUAGGAGACUGCCGGGGUCAACUCGGAGGAAGGUGGGGAUGACGUCAAAUCAUCAUGCCCCUUAUGUCUUGGGCUUCACGCAUGCUACAAUGGCCGGUACAAAGGGCUGCGAUACCGUAAGGUGGAGCGAAUCCCAAAAAGCCGGUCUCAGUUCGGAUUGAGGUCUGCAACUCGACCUCAUGAAGUCGGAGUCGCUAGUAAUCGCAGAUCAGCAACGCUGCGGUGAAUACGUUCCCGGGCCUUGUACACACCGCCCGUCAAGUCAUGAAAGUCGGUCACACCCGAAGCCGGUGGCCUAACCCUUGUGGAAGGAGCCGUCGAAGGUGGGAUCGGUGAUUAGGACUAAGUCGUAACAAGGUAACC
rnacentral:rRNA from 1 species